rnacentral:rRNA from 1 species
UCCGUAGGCGGUGCGGCAAGUCGGAAGUGAAAUCUCCGGGCUUAACUCGGAGGCUGCUUCCGAAACUGCCGUGCUCGAGUGCGAGAGAGGCAAGUGGAAUUGCGGGUGUAGCGGUGAAAUGCGUAGAUAUCCGCAGGAACAUCCGAGGCGAAAGCGGCUUGCUGGAUCGCAACCGACGCUGAGGGACGAAAGCUAGGGGAGCAAACAGGAUUAGAUACCCUGGUAGUCCUAGCCCUAAACCAUCAGGACUUGGGGUUUGCCCUGUACGGGGCAAGUCCCGGAGCUAACGCGUUAAGUCCUGCGCCUGGGGAGUACGGUCGCAAGGCUGAA